rnacentral:rRNA from 1 species
UGGGGAAUUUUGGACAAUGGGGGCAACCCUGAUCCAGCCAUGCCGCGUGAGUGAAGAAGGCCUUCGGGUUGUAAAGCUCUUCAUGCAAGGGAAGAAAUCGUAUGGGCUAAUACCCGGUGCGGAUGACGGUACCGGCAUAAGAAGCACCGGCUAACUACGUG